CGGUAUGCUUACACAUGCAAGUCGAACGAAAGUCUUCGGAUUUUAGUGGCGGACGGGUGAGUAACGCGUGAUGAUCUGCCUAUAGGUUGGGGACAACAGAUGGAAACGUCUGCUAAUACCCAAUGUGCCGAGAGGUGAAAG
rnacentral:rRNA from 1 species